rnacentral:lncRNA from 1 species
UAUUGGAAAUUAUCAAACUCUUGUUCCAGAGCUUGUUCUAACAAAAACUCAGAUUGGUCCAUCAAAUCAGGGCUUAAUCUAAACAUGAGAACACAAAACUCCAUCUGACUGAGUGCACCAUCUCCAUCGAAAUCGCCUUCUUUCAACAUGCUGAAAAGAUCAGUGUCGGAGAGAUCUUGAAGACCCAAAAAUGAAGAAUUCUUCUUCAAACUAUCGAAAGUGAUCACCCCUUUAUCUUGAUCCAUCAGCAGCUGAAACCCUUUGCACAUUUCAUCAAUCAGACCAUCUCCUCCCAGUUUGUCCGCCAUUAGAGGUAAGAAAUCAUGGAACUGAGACUCCUUGUUGUUGUUGCCAUUAAUCGAUCUAGAGAACCAGAAGUCUUUUAGGUGACUGUUGUAUUGAUUUG